UCGUGAGUUGGAUUUUACUUUGCCUGCCUCUACUGCCGACCGCAGAGUCAAGAAAAGGGGAAGGGAGUAGCCGGGCCUCAAACUAACCUUCACCUGGGAGAGGGAAGUCAACCAGAUGUGGGUCCCAGUCACGUGACGAGGAGGGUCAUCCAGACAUGGGUACAUCCCAGUGAGACCUGAUUACAGACUGGCAUUUCCUGAGAUUGAAGUGGUCUUGAUAUUGAGGACCUGCAGCAGUGGGCAACUGUUUGAGAGACGUCCCUCUUAUACCUCUGCCUUCUGCCUGGACCAAGAUGGGAACCCUGCUCUGGGUGGCAGGAUCGAGACAACUUCAACCUCCAAUAGAGGCUGGCUGAUUUGGGAGGUGCCGUGCAGUGCCCAGAAAUGGAAUCCCGGGAGAUGGAGCCAGUGGAGACACUCCUCAUUCAAAGUUUGGCAUCUUCCAGUGAAAUGAAGGCAUUUGUGCACACAGUGGAUUUCUGUUGGUGUACCUGGUAUUGCUAAGUUAAAGUCCAGGUCCUUCCAGAGUGGACUCCAGGAGAUUUACACACACACCCAUCGAGGCUGACUUGAGCAGUAGGAGAGAGAGGAGAGGCCUUGGUUCGUCUUUCCACACUGGCCACAAAGGCUUUUCCUCCUCCUAGCGUCCUCUGCCCUGGCGGCCCCAGGCCUCUGCAGCUUUCUGUCCCAUCUGGAUAGCUGUUGCCCGGGAGAAAGCCCGGGACAAGAUAAGGGACUAAAGGUUGUUCCUUGUGAGGGUGCACUGGGGGGCUGAGUUACCUGCUCUAGACUACGGGUGCAGCCGACUGUGGGUGAGCGGUAGGAUUCCCAGAACAGCCCAAGGGUUCAGUUGAGAGAAGAGACAAAAGACUCCUCUGGUGACUCAGAUCUGCCGUGUUAUAUGGAGUUUAGUGACUAGCAGUCACCUUUCAGCUUUGGUGGAAAUAUAAAAUUUACAUGUUUCUACAAACUCCAUUCAUUUCAAGCCUCGUUCCAACUCAACAGCAAGAAAAUUAAACGUAGUCUCAUUUGCUAAACUCAGUCUAGUCCAACGACUUUCUAUUACUUUUCCUUUGAGGUAGAUACUGUAUUUCACUCUGAGGAUGAGGAAUUUUAUUCUAUUUGCACCUUAUAAUGCAAUAAAAACUAAAACCUUCCUCUUCUCCAGGGUCACAUUGGUCUCUGUGGUCACAGUGUUUAGCACGGGAGCUGAGCUGGGCCUGAAAGAAAAGGAUACAUUGGAAUGCUGAGCCUGUCUUCACUUAAAAGUUGGAUAUUUUUAUCAAAAAUGUUUGUAUUGGUUUAGGUUUAUUAGGUGUAGCAUUAAAACAUCAUUCACAACAACUGGAUAUCUGCCCUCCUUUUAGAUUUUACACCAGAAAGAAGUAGAGCCUUGGUGAACCAGGUCUCACCUUCGCUUAGCUUGUAAGUAAAUCUCUGCUCAAUAGAUAUUUGCUUAGAGAAUUGAACAAGGAACAAAGAAGAGGAUGAUGCCUAUGUUCUUUCCCACCUGGGUAAUCUAGGUGACACUAUGCCCUCCAGGUCAUCUUAACACCCGUGCACAGGGCCAGGGACACAGGCUGUGCACAGUCUUCAUGUGCAAGGCAUGUGAACACGUACAGGACCCAAGGAAACAUAUCCAUGGAGAAGAGAGGUGGGGCUGGAGCAAUUUGGGGACUGGAAAUCUUCGAAACAAACGUUUGAAGGGAACCCAGAGCUUUGGAUCCCAUUACCUGCAUGGCAGAGGGAACGCUGUACCAUGCUUGUAAGCAGUGGGAAUUCCCCCGCAUUCUGUCUUCAAGAUCCGCAUUCAUCAAGGCAGUAGAGUCACCAGGCAAGGACUCUGGGGGCAGAAAGAACGGUGACAAAUCUGCCUUCACCACUUAGUGACUCUGCCUAGCCAAGCUGCUUCAUGUUCCCAAGGUUUAUUUCCCUGCUUGAACAAUGGGCACAUGAUGCCACCCUCAGAGCUGCAUGGCGAGUGGCAUGGCAUAGGGAACGGCCCGGGUACAGCCUGUGUUGAGUGGAGACUCUCUGGACGAGGGCAUCUGCAGCACUGUGGCAUUCACCACCGCCGUGUGGGUGCCGACUCGUAAACCCUCCAAAGCAAGAUCUGCCUUGAUCGCUCGCGGGCCAGCCGCUGCUCAACUCUGACGGACCAGAGUGUAUGUGAACAAAGACUGUGAUCUGUAAUCUGUGCAGCUUAGCGUCUCAUCCUCUGGAGACAGAGCUAAGGUUGGCACUGUGGCUGCCAAGCGCUGCCAUUUAUUCCUGCUGGAACUAGAGCUGGGGCAGAAUCCAAUCUCAUUGCAAGCACUCUAAAUUCCUUGGAAGAAAGGGCUCCUGCAGAAUAUUAAUAUAAACUGUUAUUAUAGAAACCCGCCAAAGCCGCCUUUUUAUUUUGUAUCUCAUCAGCGGUUGUAAAAUGAAGCCUUCCAGGAAAUAUGCAGUUGAUUGGCUUUGAUUCAUUCCAACGAUGAUUUGUGAACUUGAGAUUUUACUGUCUUUUGGAAAAUUUAUUUAUAUACCUGACAUGAUGCACCACAGGGAGUCAGGUUGGGGAGUAAAUAUCCUGUUAGCCCAGGGGAGCCGGAGCCUUUCCCUGGCCGGGAUACCACAGGAGGGACGAGCCGGGCUGGAUUCCAGCGUAGCUUCAGCUACGUGCACUCUGCUGGCUGGGGGUCUCUGGGCACUUGAAGGAGGGUUCGUGCAGCAGGGAAGGGUCUCUGAUUCCCUCUGCUGGACUGGGCUGCGCUCCUCCUUCCCACUGGACUGGCAUGGCCGGCUUCGCCUGCACCCAGCUGGCGCGCUCCCUGCUAUUGUCUCUGGCCUGGAGAUGCCCCCCCUCUGUCAGCAGCUCCUUCUCCAUGUUUGCUGUGUGCGUGUUUGUCUUUCUGGGAUGAAGUUUGUUUUUCAAGCUCUGACAGACUGGCAAGGCAAACAAGGUUGCCAUUUUUGUUUUGUUUUGUUUUGAUGAGUGUGGCAAUUUUUAGCCCUUUGAAAACAAUCCUGAGCCUCGGGGAGGUGGUAAUUUGGGAGGCCAUGUGCACAGGCGCACAUUCAGAUCUUAUUGUGACUGAGGCGCGGUCUGAAGGGAGGAGGUGGAAGACAGACUACCGUGGAUGAUCUAUCCGCUGUGAAGGGACCAAGCUCCCAACUGAAUUCAGAGACAAAAUGACAGAAAGAAAUGGGAUUUUACAGAGUAUCUUCAAAAAUUAAUCUUGAAGAUCAGGUUUAGGUCCACUCAUGCAUAUGUAUGUGGAAUUCGAAAAUAAACAUGGCACCUUACACAUCUCCUUACCUCCUGCCUGUACAAGUCAGGGUUUUGGCAAACUCCUUCUUGGAAUCCACAGAAGUGAACACCAAAGGGGCUCUGAACGUAAGGAAGAGCUACCUCAAAGUCCCGAGGAAGACAGGGCCGACACCAUUGUCUCCGUGCUACAGACAAAGGAAACCCAGGGCCAGAAGCUCCCAUAACUGGCUUCAAAUGAAAGUGACGGCCAAGGGUUCAAUGCUGGUCCUGCCUCUGGAUCCAGCAAGGGUCUAGAUGCCCCAGCCCAGAAGGAUCUUGGACACUGAAUACUGUCUGAAACUCAUCAGAGGCAGCUGAGAUCCCACCACUCAGUGAGGGUCCACCCACAGGAGAGUUGACAGAAAGAAGGGCAACAGUGAUCAACAAGGAUGCACAGAUCAGGAGGCCGCUAACACAGGAAAGCAGCAUGUUAGGGCUUGUCAUUUCUUUUUACAAUGAUACUCUCAUUUAACUAUCAUUUUUUUCUCUUCUAGACAAAAUUUUAUGUGUCAGCUCUUUGGGAGUGUGAGAUGUAUUUAUUUACAAUGACUCUGAAUUAGGCUUCUUUAUAAGGCUCAUCAUUACCAGCUCUCUGCUCCUGUGUCCACACGGCAAGUCACCUUCCAAAGGUGAGUCCCUCUGGAUGCUCAGGGCCCUGUGUCUUGGUUGGAUUCUGAAGGCUGGACAUAUCCUCUUCUUCAGGGAAAAGCAAAGAGGGGAACAGCUUGAGGGAACUCUGGGAGUUACAGCUAGAUGAGAGAGGAUGGCUCAACUCACUGGGAUCUAGCCCUGGUCUCUGCAAAGCAGGGCAGGCAGCGAGUCCAUCACAGCCCCCUGGUGCUUUGUGGACGUGUCUGCACAUGAGUCCUCAGUCCUGGCUACCUACGGGCCUGGGUUUGAUCUGAAAUUCAAUAACUCCAAAUGACGGAGUUUCCAAACCAUCUCAAAAAAUUAUAUUGUAGUUUUUAUUUUUUGUGCUAAGAAUGCACAACACUUAUGGUAGAAGUUGAUUAAUAAAAUCAAACUAACAUUUUAAAAGGUGAGUCAACAAUCUUUAAACUCUUAACAGCAGGGCUCUUAUCUCUUAACCUCCCACCCAGGACGCUGGUCAGAAGUUAUAAGACUUCCCAGACAAGCACCUCCUGAGCUGGUACAGAUUUAUAAUUAAGGGGUCAGUGCUUAAUUAUAAAUCUAAGGUGUCGCUGUUGACUUUGGUAUCAAUGAACAAAGAACAGUUAAGCAAUAUCACUCAACUUAUUAGAAUUUACUAUUCAAUUUUUGGGUUGUGAAUAUUGUAAAACGGAUACAAGAUAGUAUUAAUAGCACUGAGUGUAAUUUUUAAGCACCUCUUAUACUCUAGGUCAUGUUCAUGAGGCUAUGUAGCAGAGAAAACUGAUAUUGUAUUGAACAUGCUUAUUUCCAAUAUGAAUGCCAUACCCACAAUAAAGAAGGAAAAAAUUGGA